rnacentral:rRNA from 1 species
GGCCAUAGUGGGUGAUAGCCCUGUACGCGAAAAUCCCUUUGCAAUGAAAUCGAGUAGGACGGGGCACGAGAAACCUUGUCUGAAUAUGGGGGGACCAUCCUCCAAGGCUAAAUACUACUGACUGACCGAUAGUGAACCAGUACCGUGAGGGAAAGGCGAAAAGAACCGCGGAGAGCGGAGUGAAAUAGAUCCUGAAACCGUAUGCGUACAAGCAGUGGGAGCCCACUUUGUUGGGUGACUGCGUACCUUUUGUAUAAUGGGUCAGCGACUUAUUUUCAGUGGCGAGCUUAACCGAAUAGGGGAGGCGUAGCGAAAGCGAGUCUUAAUAGGGCGUCUAGUCGCUGGGAAUAGACCCGAAACCGGGCGAUCUAUCCAUGGGCAGGUUGAAGGUUGGGUAACACUAACUGGAGGACCGAACCGACUACCGUUGAAAAGUUAGCGGAUGACCUGUGGAUCGGAGUGAAAGGCUAAUCAAGCUCGGAGAUAGCUGGUUCUCCUCGAAAGCUAUUUAGGUAGCGCCUCAUGUAUCACUGUAGGGGGUAGAGCACUGUUUCGGCUAGGGGGUCAUCCCGACUUACCAAACCGAUGCAAACUCCGAAUACCUACAAGUGCCGAGCAUGGGAGACACACGGCGGGUGCUAACGUCCGUCGUGAAAAGGGAAACAACCCAGACCGUCAGCUAAGGUCCCAAAGUCAUGGUUAAGUGGGAAACGAUGUGGGAAGGCUUAGACAGCUAGGAGGUUGGCUUAGAAGCAGCCACCCUUUAAAGAAAGCGUAAUAGCUCACUAGUCGAGUCGGCCUGCGCGGAAGAUGUAACGGGGCUCAAACCAUGCACCGAAGCUACGGGUAUCAUCUUAGGAUGAUGCGGUAGAGGAGCGUUCUGUAAGCCUGUGAAGGUGAGUUGAGAAGCUUGCUGGAGGUAUCAGAAGUGCGAAUGCUGACAUGAGUAACGACAAUGGGUGUGAAAAACACCCACGCCGAAAGACCAAGGUUUCCUGCGCAACGUUAAUCGACGCAGGGUUAGUCGGUCCCUAAGGCGAGGCUGAAAAGCGUAGUCGAUGGAAAACAGGUUAAUAUUCCUGUACUUCUGGUUAUUGCGAUGGAGGGACGGAGAAGGCUAGGCCAGCCUGGCGUUGGUUGUCCAGGUUUAAGGUGGUAGGCUGAGAUCUUAGGUAAAUCCGGGAUCUUAAGGCCGAGAGCUGAUGACGAGUGUUCUUUUAGAACACGAAGUGGUUGAUGCCAUGCUUCCAAGAAAAGCUUCUAAGCUUCAGGUAACCAGGAACCGUACCCCAAACCGACACAGGUGGUUGGGUAGAGAAUACCAAGGCGCUUGAGAGAACUCGGGUGAAGGAACUAGGCAAAAUGGCACCGUAACUUCGGGAGAAGGUGCGCCGGUGGAGGUGAAGCAUUUACUGCGUAAGCCCCUGCCGGUCGAAGAUACCAGGCCGCUGCGACUGUUUAUUAAAAACACAGCACUCUGCAAACACGAAAGUGGACGUAUAGGGUGUGACGCCUGCCCGGUGCCGGAAGGUUAAUUGAUGGGGUUAGCGCAAGCGAAGCUCUUGAUCGAAGCCCCGGUAAACGGCGGCCGUAACUAUAACGGUCCUAAGGUAGCGAAAUUCCUUGUCGGGUAAGUUCCGACCUGCACGAAUGGCGUAACGAUGGCGGCGCUGUCUCCACCCGAGACUCAGUGAAAUUGAAAUCGCUGUGAAGAUGCAGUGUAUCCGCGGCUAGACGGAAAGACCCCGUGAACCUUUACUAUAGCUUUGCACUGGACUUUGAAUUUGCUUGUGUAGGAUAGGUGGGAGGCUUUGAAGCGUGGACGCCAGUCUGCGUGGAGCCAACCUUGAAAUACCACCCUGGCAACUUUGAGGUUCUAACUCAGGUCCGUUAUCCGGAUCGAGGACAGUGUAUGGUGGGUAGUUUGACUGGGGCGGUCUCCUCCUAAAGAGUAACGGAGGAGUACGAAGGUGCGCUCAGACCGGUCGGAAAUCGGUCGUAGAGUAUAAAGGCAAAAGCGCGCUUGACUGCGAGACAGACACGUCGAGCAGGUACGAAAGUAGGUCUUAGUGAUCCGGUGGUUCUGUAUGGAAGGGCCAUCGCUCAACGGAUAAAAGGUACUCCGGGGAUAACAGGCUGAUACCGCCCAAGAGUUCAUAUCGACGGCGGUGUUUGGCACCUCGAUGUCGGCUCAUCACAUCCUGGGGCUGAAGCCGGUCCCAAGGGUAUGGCUGUUCGCCAUUUAAAGUGGUACGCGAGCUGGGUUUAGAACGUCGUGAGACAGUUCGGUCCCUAUCUGCCGUGGACGUUUGAGAUUUGAGAGGGGCUGCUCCUAGUACGAGAGGACCGGAGUGGACGAACCUCUGGUGUUCCGGUUGUCACGCCAGUGGCAUUGCCGGGUAGCUAUGUUCGGAAAAGAUAACCGCUGAAAGCAUCUAAGCGGGAAACUUGCCUCAAGAUGAGAUCUCACUGGAACCUUGAGUUCCCUGAAGGGCCGUCGAAGACUACGACGUUGAUAGGUUGGGUGUGUAAGCGCUGUGAGGCGUUGAGCUAACCAAUACUAAUUGCCCGUGAGGCUUGACCAUAUAACACCCAAGCAAUU